UAAACGGUUUUGGUGUUGAAUGAAAGGCUGGGACACUCACACACGAGACUCUUUCUUCUCAAUGCUGUGGUGUCUCAGUGAGCAGGAGGCUCUGGAUGACAGGAUGUACAGAAAGAUGUUCAUCUGUGGACACAGUAUACCAGGAUCUGCAGGCACUCACCGACACCACCAUGGCGAUGGGUCCAGCAAAGCUCCAGAUCAGCGUAUCGUACAUAGACAACCAACAGAAAUCGGGGUUUCCAUAGCCUUCGGGGUCCAGUCCCACUGCCAAACCUGCAGACAAACCCAGAAAAACAGAUGGAAGGGCAUCCUGGGGUAGCUCCUCCCAGACCUGGAUCACAGCAUCACUGAGCUCCUGACAGUUUGGUCACAAACAUGCACGAGUAGCCCACUGGAGGUCACUCUGAAGGGUUCUUGCAGAGCUCCUCCUGUUCCUCCUCACGCAAAGGAGCAGACUGAUGCAUUUCUACAACCCUGUCUAACACUCCUUGUGUAGCAGCCCAUCUCCUGGCAUC